rnacentral:rRNA from 1 species
GUGUCAGCAGCCGCGGUCCCCCUUCUUUCCCGCGCGUUGUUCGGAUUCACUGGGUGUAAAGGGCGCGUAGGUGGUUGUCUGUGUCUCAUGUGAAAACUCAGGGCUCAACUCUGAGAUUGCGUGGGAAACUAGGCAGCUAGAGGACGGUAGAGGGGAGUGGAAUUCCCGGUGUAGCGGUAAAAUGCGUAGAUACCGGGAGGAACACCGGUGGCGAAGGCGGCUCUCUGGGCCGAUCCUGACGCUGAGGCGCGAAAGCUAGGGUAGCGAACCGGAUUAGAUACCCGGGUAGUCCUAGCCGUAAACGAUGGGUGCUAGGUGUUGGGGGGUAAAGACCCUUCAGUGCCGAAGCCAACGCGAUAAGCAUCCCACCUGGGGAGUACGGCCGCAAGGUUGAAACUUAAAGGAAUUGGCGG